GAUGAACGCUAGCGGGAGGCUUAACACAUGCAAGUCGAGGGGCAGCAUAGGGUAGCAAUACUCUGAUGGCGACCGGCAAACGGGUGAGUAACGCGUAUGCAGCCUACCCUGUACAGGGGGAUAACCCGGAGAAAUUCGGACUAAUAUCCCGUAAUAAUAUCCGGAGGCAUCUUUGGAUAUUUAAAGUUCCGACGGUACGGGAUGGGCAUGCGUAACAUUAACUGGUUGGUAAGGUAACGGCUUACCAAGGCUAUGAUGUUUAGGGGUCCUGAGAGGGUGGUCCCCCACACUGGUACUGAGACACGGACCAGACUCCUACGGGAGGCAGCAGUGAGGAAUAUUGGUCAAUGGGCGCAAGCCUGAACCAGCCAUCCCGCGUGCAGGAAGACGGCCCUAUGGGUUGUAAACUGCUUUUCCAGGGAGAGAAACUUACGCACGUGUUGCGUGACUGACGGUACCCUGGGAAUAAGCAUCGGCUAACUCCGUG
rnacentral:rRNA from 1 species